rnacentral:lncRNA from 1 species
CUGAUACACAGAGAGGGCAAUUCUUGGUGUAGAAGGAGAGAGAUAAGAGCCAUGGAAGCUUUGAAAACCGCUAGCUUCAGUCCUAUGUCAGUUCUAUCCGACAAAAGAUCAGAACCACGACGACCCUUCUCGCUCCCUAGCCUCUUUCCACCAAAGACGCCAAAACCAAUCUCCCAAGAAAGCUUCUUCAGGAGCUUCAACGGCGGAUUAGCGCUUCUAACCUCUGUCCUAAGCAGUGCAACAGCUCCUGCAAAGUCUCUGACCUACGAGGAAGCUCUGCAACAAUCUGUGACCUCUCCUUCAUCGUUUGACUCAGACGGCUUUAUCGAUGGUAUAUCAAGUUUCGUCACUGACAACCCUCUGGUGAUCGCCGGUGGAGUUGCUGCAUUUGCUGUCCCCUUUGUUCUCUCUCAGGUUCUGAACAAGAAGCCUAAAUCCUUUGGAGUUGAGUCUGCUAAGAAUGCUUACACCAAGCUGGGCACUGAUGAAACUGCGCAGCUGCUUGACAUAAGAGCCGCUGCUGAUUCCAGACAAGUGGGCAGUCCUAAUAUCAAAGGUUUAGGUAAAAAGACGGUUUCGGUUGUUUAUAACGGAGAAGACAAGGAUGGUUUCUUGAAGAAGCUUUCCUUGAAGUUGAGAGGAGAAGCUUGGGAUCCAUUGGGUGAGCCUGAGAAAUGAUAAUGAAAAAUGGCAGAAGAAAGGUGUCACCUUUUCGAUUGGGAUGAAUGUGUGCAGAAGGAUAUGUUCUUCCCUAGAUUGAGAUUGAGAUUGGGGUUUAACGAUGGAAGUCAUAAAACCUUGAAGCAUCUCUCUGACGACUCUGAUAUUAUCUUAUAGGUCUUGAACGUAAUACUAGAGCAAACGGGAGGGUAGAAAUGGAAUUAACGCUACCAAAAAAACAAAAUCAUCUUUCACAGCAAACGAUGUCGUUUCAGUCACUGUUUCUUACGCUUGCCGCCGUGAGAGAACGGCUGAGAAACAUCUUGUAGUUUGGUCUCUCUCUUCUUUCGAGUGUUUUGAUAAAGGGCGUUUUGGUAAAUAUGUUAAGGCUUCUACUGAGUAUUGACCACACAAUGUAACAUGCACUUUAGGACCGUAAAAGUUUACUAUGCUCUAUUCUUACACCCAAGACAUGAUCAAGAGUCAUCUCAUCCAAAAGCGUGACGUGUCAAUCAAGCAGUGGGUAAUAUUGAUUACACAGCCCACGUCAGCUUACUAGAAACUGCUCCACGCUUGUCCUCACACUUCUUUUCCACUUGUUCUUCUAAUCUCUCUAAGAAAUUUGCUGAUACACAGAGAGGGCAAUUCUUGGUGUAGAAGGAGAGAGAUAAGAGCCAUGGAAGCUUUGAAAACCGCUAGCUUCAGUCCUAUGUCAGUUCUAUCCGACAAAAGAUCAGAACCACGACGACCCUUCUCGCUCCCUACCCUCUUUCCACCAAAGACGCCAAAACCAAUCUCCCAAGAAAGCUUCUUCAGGAGCUUCAACGGCGGAUUAGCGCUUCUAACCUCUGUCCUAAGCAGUGCAACAGCUCCUGCGAAGUCUCUGACCUACGAGGAAGCUCUGCAACAAUCUGUGACCUCUCCUUCAUCGUUUGACUCAGACGGCUUUAUCGAUGGUAUAUCAAGUUUCGUCACUGACAACCCUCUGGU